rnacentral:rRNA from 1 species
GAUGAACGCUGGCGGCGUGCCUAAUACAUGCAAGUCGAGCGAACGGACGAGAAGCUUGCUUCUCUGAUGUUAGCGGCGGACGGGUGAGUAACACGUGGAUAACCUACCUAUAAGACUGGGAUAACUUCGGGAAACCGGAGCUAAUACCGGAUGAUAUUUUGAACCGCAUGGUUCAAAAGUGAAAGACGGUCUUGCUGUCACUUAUAGAUGGAUCCGCGCUGCAUUAGCUAGUUGGUAAGGUAACGGCUUACCAAGGCAACGAUGCAUAGCCGACCUGAGAGGGUGAUCGGCCACACUGGAACUGAGACACGGUCCAGACUCCUACGGGAGGCAGCAGUAGGGAAUCUUCCGCAAUGGGCGAAAGCCUGACGGAGCAACGCCGCGUGAGUGAUGAAGGUCUUCGGAUCGUAAAACUCUGUUAUUAGGGAAGAACAUAUGUGUAAGUAACUGUGCACAUCUUGACGGUACCUAAUCAGAAAGCCACGGCUAACUACGUGCCAGCAGCCGCGGUAAUACGUAGGUGGCAAGCGUUAUCCGGAAUUAUUGGGCGUAAAGCGCGCGUAGGCGGUUUUUUAAGUCUGAUGUGAAAGCCCACGGCUCAACCGUGGAGGGUCAUUGGAAACUGGAAAACUUGAGUGCAGGAGAGGAAAGUGGAAUUCCAUGUGUAGCGGUGAAAUGCGCAGAGAUAUGGAGGAACACCAGUGGCGAAGGCGACUUUCUGGUCUGUAACUGACGCUGAUGUGCGAAAGCGUGGGGAUCAAACAGGAUUAGAUACCCUGGUAGUCCACGCCGUAAACGAUGAGUGCUAAGUGUUAGGGGGUUUCCGCCCCUUAGUGCUGCAGCUAACGCAUUAAGCACUCCGCCUGGGGAGUACGACCGCAAGGUUGAAACUCAAAGGAAUUGACGGGGACCCGCACAAGCGGUGGAGCAUGUGGUUUAAUUCGAAGCAACGCGAAGAACCUUACCAAAUCUUGACAUCCUUUGACAACUCUAGAGAUAGAGCCUUCCCCUUCGGGGGACAAAGUGACAGGUGGUGCAUGGUUGUCGUCAGCUCGUGUCGUGAGAUGUUGGGUUAAGUCCCGCAACGAGCGCAACCCUUAAGCUUAGUUGCCAUCAUUAAGUUGGGCACUCUAAGUUGACUGCCGGUGACAAACCGGAGGAAGGUGGGGAUGACGUCAAAUCAUCAUGCCCCUUAUGAUUUGGGCUACACACGUGCUACAAUGGACAAUACAAAGGGCAGCGAAACCGCGAGGUCAAGCAAAUCCCAUAAAGUUGUUCUCAGUUCGGAUUGUAGUCUGCAACUCGACUACAUGAAGCCGGAAUCGCUAGUAAUCGUAGAUCAGCAUGCUACGGUGAAUACGUUCCCGGGUCU